rnacentral:rRNA from 1 species
AUUGAACGCUGGCGGCAUGCCUUACACAUGCAAGUCGAACGGCAGCACGGGUGCUUGCACCUGGUGGCGAGUGGCGAGCGGGUGAGUAAUACAUCGGAACGUACCUUAUCGUGGGGGAUAACGCAGCGAAAGUUGCGCUAAUACCGCAUACGCCCUGAGGGGGAAAGCGGGGGACCGUAAGGCCUCGCGCGAUUAGAGCGGCCGAUGUCUGAUUAGCUUGUUGGUGGGGUAAAAGCUCACCAAGGCGAUGAUCAGUAGCUGGUCUGAGAGGACGAUCAGCCACACUGGGACUGUGACACGGCCCAGACGCCUACGGGAGGCAGCAGUGGGGAAUUUUGGACAAUGGGGGCAACCCUGAUCCAGCAAUGCCGCGUGAGUGAAGAAGGCCUUCGGGUUGUAAAGCUCUUUUGUCAGGGAAGAAACACCGGCUCUAACACAGUCCGGGAAUGACGGUACCUGAAGAAUAAGCACCGGUUAACUACGUGCCAGCCGCCGCGGUAA